UACGUAGGGUGCGAGCGUUAAUCGGAAUUACUGGGCGUAAAGCGUGCGCAGGCGGCUUUGCAAGACAGAGGUGUAAUCCCCGGGCUCAACCUGGGAACUGCCUUUGUGACUGCAAGGCUAGAGUACGGCAGAGGGGGAUGGAAUUCCGCGUGUAGCAGUGAAAUGCGUAGAUAUGCGGAGGAACACCGAUGGCGAAGGCAAUCCCCUGGGCCUGUACUGACGCUCAUGCAC
rnacentral:rRNA from 1 species